rnacentral:rRNA from 1 species
GAUGAACGCUGGCGGCGUGCCUAAUACAUGCAAGUCGAGCGAACAGACGAGGAGCUUGCUCCUCUGACGUUAGCGGCGGACGGGAGAGUAACACGUGGAUAACCUACCUAUAAGACUGGGAUAACUUCGGGAAACCGGAGCUAAUACCGGAUAAUAUAUUGAACCGCAUGGUUCAAUAGUGAAAGACGGUUUUGCUGUCACUGAUAGAUGGAUCCGCGCCGCAUUAGCUAGUUGGUAAGGUAACGGCUUACCAAGGCAACGAUGCGUAGCCGACCUGAGAGGGUGAUCGGCCACACUGGAACUGGGCCACGGUCCAGACUCCUACGGGAGGCAGCAGUGGGGAAUCUUCCGCAAUGGGCGAAAGCCUGACGGAGCAACGCCGCGUGAGUGAUGAAGGUCUUCGGAUCGUAAAACUCUGUUAUUAGGGAAGAACAAAUGUGUAAGUAACUAUGCACGUCUUGACGGUACCUAAUCAGAAAGCCACGGCUAACUACGUG